GUUAGAGCGCGCGCUUGAUAAGCGUGAGGUCGGAGGUUCAAGUCCUCCCAGGCCCACCAGUUUAUCCAUUACUUUCAUAAGUGCUUUUAAAAAAUAAGUACUUCUAAAAAGAUUGCUUCUAAAAAGCUUAUCAAAAUUGGCAGGCUUAUUGCUUUUGUGUGAGUAAUCCAAAGUUAAAGCAAAUUAAUGGCAAAAAAACAGUUCAAAUGCUAAAUACUAAGGAGUCAAAAUUCCUUGGCAAAGUGAUUUUUACAGCGUCCAUUUGGUUGAUAUAAAUUCCAAAUGCUCAUAGACGUCAAUGCCCUUAUUAAAACUAUCGGUUCAAUCAUAUCGCUUUGAGUU
rnacentral:misc_RNA from 1 species